UUGCUGUCCACGACAGAUGCAAGAAAAACAUGUCCUUGUGCUUUCCGUCUGUCUAAUUGUGGCAGCUGAGACUGAAUAAAGGAAUACAGGG
ensembl:snoRNA